UUACAAGCCUGGUCGCUGUGCCUCAUUCCUCUUGUCAUCAACUCCUGUCAGUUUAUCCAAGCUCCAAAAGCGAAGUUGUUUUAUCUUUUGCCUCCCAAUAUUUAUUUAAUAGUCUCGUUUCUGUUUCCUUCAUUCUUUGGUUCAUUACUGAAAAACUUUACAGCGUUCCAGUACUGGUUAUAAACCCCAAGUAAGAGCCUUGUAUCACGGAGCGUGUAGUUACAGCAAGUAGACAGACACUUCAAGGGCUCUGUAGUGAAGUACUUGCUGAGAUAGUGUACGGAAGCACAGAAUACACUCUUCAUCCAACAAGUAAUUGCUGGAGGAGCAAAUAGGGACACCUAACCAUCGCGGGGACGUCUCAGGAUAUCCUUUCUGGAAGAAAAGUCUGUUGAAAUCUGAAGGACCACUGGUUGAAGUUAGCCAGGAAAGAAAAGGACAAAAAAUAAUAUCCAAAGAUAUUUUGGCACUAAUGGCGCAAUCUGUAGCAAGAAAGUUGAGCGGUCUGAACUGUUGAGACUUCCAAGGAGACUUCAGAGGACCAAAACAGUGUAAAGGAAAACAGGAAAAAAGACUUGUUAGACAUUAUUAAGGGCACGAAAGUUGAAUCGAGCACAGUAAAUGUACAAACAACAAAGCCACCCAGCAGAAGUCCACUUAAAAGCAACAACUGGCGGGCCUCAAAGAGCUGCAGAACAUGCUCCAAAGAAGAGGUAAAAUUUACAUACAUUAAAGUGUACAAAUCUUAGCUGGAGGACUUUGACAAAUGGAUAAGCCCAUGUGACCCACACACUUAACCAAGACACUGUGUUUCCCAUUUUCAUCUUCCUGAAAUGAGCCCCUGAGUCUUGAGUUGGUGGCAGCUGCAUCUGCUGCCCUCUUUUGACAAACAAGCCAGAGCUGCUCAGGCAGCUCCAUAGCAUGAAGAAGAGUGGGGCACAGAGAGAUGGAGAGAGACCUAAAAUUAGUUUCAGUAACAAAAUAUCAGAUACGAAAAUUGUCAGAUGUGCUACAACUAGAGUUAAUAUUAAGACCAGAGCAUCAGACUCAGUUUGACCAAGUCUUUGACAAUUAUCCUGACCAGGAGAAGACCGCUGAUCUUAGAAACAGAUUUCAAUAAACUGAUGCCAAGAAUUUAUGGAGAAAAUUAUAAAAACUUUGCUAAAAGAUAGAUAUGAAUAACCGAAUGAAGCAAGCAAUUACGUUCAUGGAUUGGAAGAGGCAAUACAAGGGAAAGAUAUCAUUUCUCCGCAAAUGAAUCUGCAAAAUCAAAGUGAACAAUUUGUUGUUGUUGUUAAGAGACGCACACUAUUAUGUAGGCUGGAGUGCAGUAACACGGUAAGAGUCUCAACCUCCUGGUCUCAAGUGAUCCUCCUACUUCAGCCUCUCAAGUAGCUGAGGCACGUACAACCAUCCUUGGCUAAUGCUUUUUAUUUAUUUUUUGUAGAGACGAGAUCUCACCACCUUGCCCGGGCUGGUCUUGAACUCCUGGGCUCAAGUGAUUUUUCUGCCUUGGCUUCCCAAAGUAUUGGGAUUAUAGGCAUGAGCAUGUACCCGGGUGCCUGCAUAAAUCUUGUGCAUAACUUGAUAAAAUUUUAUGUUUGAAUACACUGCUGUGAUUACCAGCCAGAUCAAGAUAUGUAACAUUUCCUGCAUCCAAGAAGAUUUCUUCAUGCUCCUUUUCCCCACCCUCCCUGACAACCAGGAGGUUCCCUUAUGAUACCUCUCAUCUAAGUGGAAUCAAUCAUGAUGUACUCUGUCUGGCUUUUUUUUUUUACCACAACUUAUGUAUAUAAAGUUCAUCCAUAUCGUUGUGUGUAGUAGUCGUUCAUUGUUAACUCAUUGCUAUGUAAUAUUUUUUCUCCUAUUUAAGGACAUUUAGAUUAUUUCCAGUUUUUGCUACCUUGGGUAAUGCUGCAAUGAAUAUUCUUCUACAUGAUCAUAAAUAAUAAAUACUCUUGGGUAUAUGCCCAGUGGUAGAAUUAUUGGGUUAUGGUCUAUGUAUAACUAGCUUUAGUAGAGUGUCUGACAUAGUUUGGGUAUGUGUCCCCAUCCAAAUCACAUGUCAAAUUGUAAUCCCCAGUGUCGGAGGUGGGGCCUGGUGGGAGGUAACUGGAUCAUAGGGGUGGGUUUCUCAUGAAUGGUUACGUACCACCUCCCUUGGUACUAUCCUCGCAACAGUGAAUUCUUGUGAGAUCUGGUUGUUUAAAAAUGUGUACCUCCCCCCACCCUACUUGCUCCUGCCAUGUAAGAUGGCUGCUCUACCUUUGCCUUCUGCCUUGAUUGGAA